GAUGAAGAACGUAGCGAAAUGCGAUAAGUAAUGUGAAUUGCAGAAUUUAGUGAAUCAUCGAAUCUUUGAACGCACAUUGCGCCCCUUGGUAUUCCGAGGGGCAUGCCUGUUCGAGCGUCAUUAUAACCCCUCAAGCUCAGCUUGGUGUUGGGGCCUGCCGCACGGGCAGCCCUUAAAAUCAGUGGCGGUGCCAUCUGGCUCUAAGCGUAGUAAUUCUUCUCGCUAUAGAGUCCCGGUGGAUGCUUGCCAUUAACCCCCAAUUUUCUAUGGUUGACCUCGGAUCAGGUAGGGAUACCCGCUGAACUUAAGCAUAUCAAUAAGCGGAGGA
rnacentral:misc_RNA from 1 species